GACGGAGGAUGCAAGUGUUAUCCGGAAUCACUGGGCGUAAAGCGUCUGUAGGUGGUUUAAUAAGUCAACUGUUAAAUCUUGAGGCUCAACCUCAAAAUCGCAGUCGAAACUAUUAGGCUAGAGUAUAGUAGGGUAAGGUAAUUCAGUGGAGCGGUGAAAUGCGUAGAGAUUGGAAAGAACACCGAUGGCGAAGGCACUUUACUGGGCUAUUACUAACACUCAGAGACGAAAGCUAGGGUAGCAAAUGGG
rnacentral:rRNA from 1 species